rnacentral:rRNA from 1 species
UUAGGAAUCUUCCCCAAUGGGCGAAAGCCUGAGGGAGCGAUGCCGCUUGAGGGAUGAAGCCCUUCGGGGUGUAAACCUCUGAACGGGGGACGAUCAUGACGGUACCCCGGUAAUAGCACCGGCUAACUCCGUGCCAGCAGCCGCGGUAAUACGGAGGGUGCAAGCGUUACCCGGAUUCACUGGGCGUAAAGGGCGCGUAGGCGGCCCGCUCAGUCCGGCGCUAAAGCCCAGGGCUCAACCCUGGAAGCG